rnacentral:rRNA from 1 species
UACAACUGUGCAUGAAUUGUAGUGCUUCAGAGGCGAAAGCGGGCUUUGCGGCUCGUCGUAGUCUCUAGGCCUACGUAUGAUUACAAACACUUUACGAGUAUAAGACUGUCCAUUGCGACUUAACGCAUCUAUGUACAACUUUCAGCAACGGAUCUCUUGGCUCUCGCAUCGAUGAAGAACGCAGCGAAAUGCGAUAAGUAAUGUGAAUUGCAGAAUUCAGUGAAUCAUCGAAUCUUUGAACGCACCUUGCGCUCCUUGGUAUUCCGAGGAGCAUGCCUGUUUGAGUGUCAUGAAAUUCUCAACUCAUAACCCUUUGUGGGUUUUAUGAGGUUGGACUUUGGAGGCUUGUCGGCCCAGUCGGUCGGCUCCUCUUAAAUGAAUUAGCUUGAUUCCUUGCGGAUCGGCUCUCGGUGUGAUAAUGUUUUGCGCCGUACCGUGAAGCGUUUGGCAAGCUUCUAAUCGUCUCUUGUGAGACAACUGA